rnacentral:lncRNA from 1 species
UUACAGUAGCAAUUCAGUGUGUGCGUCGAUAAGGGGCUGUAGAUAAUAGCUUUCGGUUUGGGCGCGCACACAUCCCUCCCAUAUUUUCCCCCAAAUCAAUAUCAGACAAUUCUCGCCCAAAUCAACAUUAGCUUCUUAGUCAGUCGAUCAACCGGUAAAUUCUUAGUCGCCCAAAUCUCUUCUGGUCUCACUCCAUCUCUUGUCACUGCAUCUCAUGUCCGCCAGAAAAUUCUUCGUCUCACUCCAUCUCUCCGUCCGGCUUGAAAGCAUUCUUGCAUUUUCAAACUAUUUGAGCAGGUAAUUUCAAUCUUCAAUUUAUAUUUAACCGUAAGUUGUUAUGAUUUCCUCUAUUUCUCUCAUCCAUCUAACAAGCCCUAAAUUUUUACUUGAUUGUCACCGGAGUCUUAGAUAAGUUUUCAAAAGGAAGAUUUAGUGCGGAUCCAGUUUAGCUGUGACGAGUAUUUAAGAAAUUCGAAACUUGAUUACACUAGCAUUUUUCUGGGUAAGUGGAG